rnacentral:rRNA from 1 species
UACGGAGGAUGCGAGCGUUAUCCGGAUUUAUUGGGUUUAAAGGGUGCGUAGGCGGACGCCUAAGUCAGCGGUAAAAUUGCGGGGCUCAACCUCGUCGAGCCGUUGAAACUGGGCGCCUUGAGUGGGCGAGAAGUACGCGGAAUGCGUGGUGUAGCGGUGAAAUGCAUAGAUAUCACGCAGAACUCCGAUUGCGAAGGCAGCGUACCGGCGCCCAACUGACGCUGAAGCACGAAGGCGUGGGUAUCGAACAGG